rnacentral:lncRNA from 1 species
GUGAUUACACUGGUGAUUUGGUCUCUUUUGAAUCAUUGAACCAUAUUUCACAGUUUUCACAGUUUUAUCUUCUCACAGUCUCCUUUCAACUCUUCGAUUAAGCUGUAGCUGUCUGCGGUCUGCCUUGGUAAUGACAGCCACCCUGUUAUGAAGCGUCUGCUGUGGAACAGGCACAUGCUGAUGCUUUGCUUCAGGACGUCCCACUGCAGUUUUGCCCCACAGUUGGCCCUAUCUUCUUAUUAACUUGAGGAUGUUCUUCUGUUGAACUUCAUCCUCUUGGCUGAGGAAUCCUUUGGAUGAACACUGAGCCAAUGCAGUUGACUGUGAGGACAGGCUCACCCCAACAAGGCAGCGGGAGAAAGCGAGAUCGUACGGCGAGCCCCUCUUCUCCUUGUGCUGCCUCGGAGGUCUCAGGCGGAGGAAGUAAGAUGCUACGGCGAGCCCCUCUUUUCCCUGUGCUGCCUCGAAGGUCUCAGGCAGGAGGAAGUGAGAUCCUACGGGAAAGAAGAAACAGUGAAGAGCAGAGAAAGAGCUUGCCCAGCUUCUGAUUUUCAAAAACAAGCUGGUGUUUUCCUGUAAACAGAUUCAAGAGAGAUGUGACUAGCUGUGUUCUAGAGACUGUGAUCCUGAAUCUGGCAUCUUCAUCAGCUUCUGGGAUCAAAUGCUAUAAAACACCAGUAGAGAGCCAGUUCUAUCAGCUCUUAGCUGUGUGACCUUGGACAGGUCACUUAACAUCUUUGUGUCUCAGUCUCCUGCAUGAUAAGAUGAGGGUGGUGACUGUGCCCAACCUUGUGGGAUUGACGCGAGGACCCGAUCAGCAAAUUCACGACAAGCGUGCCUGGCGCAGGUAAACCCUGGGUGGAUAUUUGCUAUCACUAUCAUCAGUAGCAUUAUUGUAUUACUGAAGUCAGUGGUUUUUAAACUUUUUAAAAAUGGCAGAGCCUUUUCUUCAAAUGAAAUUGGAUGCAAAUGCCCAGGGCAUAACUGGAAUAGAGCACAGCUGCUUGAAUGGAAAUGGGGAGGAGGAGGUGCGUGAAUCACCCUUUCAGAAUAAAGUCCCUCAGUGCCCCCUCAUGAUAGCCCCGAGGGGGCUUCAAGGAACACUAUUAAAAAAUCUCUUCCAUGGAUACAAAUGAAAAAUGCCAGCAGACUGCUAAUAAAUGCCUGUUCCUUUUGAUAGAGACCCACCUCAUCAUUCUGACAUAUUAUACUAUGGCCACAACUUCAGAGGUCAUCGUUUCCAGGGGAUGCUGGGGAGGGAGAAUCCGAGAUGGAGAUGAAGUUUGGUGGGGGUGCCACUAGGAUCAGCACUGGGUGAUGGAGACAUUGGGCUGUGAUGAGGGCCCAACAGAGGCCCCAGCCCCCACCAUUAGGAGCUCUGCAGAUGGAUGACCUGUCAGAGCUGCCCCAGAUGGGGCAAGAGGGCUGGGCCUUUAGACCCAG